rnacentral:hammerhead_ribozyme from 1 species
GCACUGCUGGCGAGUCCCGAACAGGACGAAACAGCUGUCCAGUGC